rnacentral:lncRNA from 1 species
UAAUUAUUUUUUUAUAAAUUUUUAUAUAACAUAUUAUAUGUAUAACAUAGUAUAGUCAUUUUAUCAUAUUUUUAUCUAAAAUAAUUUAUAUUAUGGAUUCGAAAUUUUACGUUAUUGGUGGAAUAGGCGUAGAAAAUAAUAACAAACUAACAUGAGUUUUUUUCUUUCAAUGGGUGGUUAACAAAUGUUUGAUUUAUUUUCCAGUUGCUGCUGCGGGAUUGACGUUCUGUUUGUGCUUCUGUUUGACAGGUCACUACAACAUAUCUGUUGGUGAUCUUACCCCUAAGGUUGUUGCUGCUAUGUUAUUUACAUGCUUUUCUUUUAUGCUAGUUGUUUGUGACUCGUGAGUACAUCUCCCGCUCCCUUCCUCUCAAACACAUACACAACGUCACAUACGACAAUAUAAUUCUUUUUCAGGAGUAGGGACAGUUCUAUAUCCUUGCUUGGAGGUUUUACUAGAUGUUUUUGAAACCUUUACCCAUCUAACAACACAGCAUUUUAAGCAUGACUAUUGUUUAUUUUUUUUCUAAUUAUGAAAGUUUAGUUUAAUAGUUAUGGAACUUUGUUAAUGUUCUGCAGGUGACUUAAAAGAACAGCUCUUGAAGGCCUGAUACCUGAGCACUUAUGUUGGUCUGACUAAAUUAGAGCAUGUGUAGGAUUGUUCAUCAAUUUUGUAAAACUCAUAGCAGUUAGGCACUUAUGCUGCUUACUAUUUAAAAUGAUUGUAAAUAUUUGGAAUGUUUGGAUGACCAUCAACAUUUAAAUGAAGUGAUGAUAUUAUGAUU